AUACUAACCUGGUAGAGUAGAUAUCAUAAUCACAAAGAUGGUUUUCUGAGGGCAAGGCUUAUCCAUUGCACUGGAUGUGGUGACUUCUGUAAUUUCCCCAAAUGUGGGAAACUGAAUUGCAUAAUUUGUGGUAGUAAGGGACCAUUUCUGUGCUCCCCCC